rnacentral:misc_RNA from 1 species
CGUGUCGCGGCGCGCCCCCCCCGCUCGGCUGCGCGUGCUGCACCGCGCCGCGCUGCACUUCCUGCUGCCGCUGCGCGCCGCGGUGAACGGCAAGGAAGUAGAAACAAAAUUGAGUGACGUAUUCCGGUUGCUAGCGGAAUUGCAAAUGAGCUGCGACAUUGAAGACUACACAGUUAACCAAAGCUCGCUCGAUCAGAUGUUCCUAAGCUAUAAUAAUAAGACGAGUAUAAUGGAUCCAAUUGACGAAUCAACGGAAACGCCUCGCCUGCUCAGAAGAAACAGCGAAGAGCUGGACAGCGUCACCUCACUGUGAUAUCUUAAAAGAUAGAUAUGGUCUUAAUAAUCCUAAAAAUAUUCCGUUCUGGAAAAACUUUAUAGUUACCCAAAAAAUUUAAGUGCAUUCUGCCAACAAUGACACGUAAAAUCUAAGAUUAACGAUCCUGUGUUAUUUAAACGUAAUAUGUUUCUAAAUCAUCUGUGCUCAUUUGGCACUAUUGAAAGUCAUUAUCCCUAAAGAAGAAGAAGAUAUUUAAACGGAAAGGAAAAAGACUAGGAGCAAGCUUAAUAAUUUUUAUAAAAAUUAUUUAUCAAAUUAUUUUUUCAUUUAUGGUUUAUAUUAAUUUCUUUAUUUAAUAAUCUAGAUUUGAUCUUAGACAAUGAAUUUCACGAUCAAAUUUUAACAAAACUAUAGAUUGACAAAACGCAGUAUAUAUUAUGUAAUUUUAAUUUUUUUUUUUUUUAAUUUAAAUCUGUUACCUACAGGUUCUUUUCUAUUUUUUUAUUACUAAUUUAUCAACUUUUUUUAUUUAUUCGUACAUACUACACUGAAAUUUCUAAAGGUGAUUAUUUUUAUUCUAGAUAAUGCAAAACUUUUCUUAAAAUAUUGUACUUAUAUUAUUAACCAAAAACUGACAAUGCAAUCCAAUAAUUAAUUAUACAUUAGCAAAAACUUUCUAACGUCACGUUUCAUCAGAUUAUUCUUAACAGAAACGUCAGAAUUACUGACGCGUGCUCAUUGCUGUCAGAAUAUUUAUUACAAAAGUUUCUAAUUAUGAUUAGCUGAACUAAAAAGAAAUAUCAGUUUAGCCGUUUUUUGAGUCAAUCUUAAAUAUUUUUGUUGUAAGAUUAGUUUAUAUUCAUCCAAAAAUGUAUAUAUCAUCAAGUUUCCUACAAAAGGAAUGUAUUUCAAAUAAAUAUUCCUAUUCUAAAGGACUUUAAGAGUGAAAUUAUCAGUGGGAUAGAAUUGAACGAUAUUCCUAUUUUUAAAUUUAGCUAAUACUAAAUAUUAUAAUCGUCAUGGGAACAAUACGCCUUGUACCAGUUAUAAGCAAAAUAUGAGUAUCACGUUUCUCAUGAUGUGAAAUCAACAUAAAUUGUUUCGAAAAAAUUACAUUACUAAUAAAAUAUCUUUUUGUCUGUAUUUGUAUCAUUAAUUAUUAAAAUAUAAUGUAAGAUUUGUGACCAAAUCAAAAAAUUUCAAAAUAGAUUUUAAGUCAAACAUACAAAAAAAUAUUAGUUUGAAAAUAUUAAAAAAAAACUAAUCAGUUUUUUUUUUCUAAGGAUUUAGCACAAACUCCAUUUUUAAUUUUUAAAGCCUGAAUUUUUGCGUUAAAAUAUACACUUAUUGUACAAAAGCGUUUGACACAAACUUUAAAUGUAUUUUGUAAGGAUUUUGAAACGUGACUUAAUGACAAUAUUUUAAUUAAUUGUAAGGAAUAAAUGAAUUUAAUGCAUUAUUUUUAUAAAUGUAUAGCAUGCCAGCUGUGAUAUAAUUGUAUUUAAGGCGUGUUUCAUAUGAAAUAAGGAGAAAUAAAAAACAUGGUUUAUGGUAAAUAUGUUUUAUUUUAAAAUAAUAUUUCAUUAACCUUAGAUUGAUAAAGCUAUAAAAGAGAUCAUUCUGAUCUUAGAAUAUAACGUAAACGUAAAAAGCUUAAAAGCAUUACAUUUGCAUUUUUUUUUGAAAAAAAAAUUGAACGCAAAGUUUUUAAAUAAUAUAAAAUUGCAUUUAAACUUGUGCAACAAACAAUCACAACACCAAUAAAAUAUAUACUAACUAUGAAAUCGAUAUAACUUUAAGUAAACAAAAAUAAUUAAAAUAACUAUUAAAUUCAGAUCCCAAUAUAUUUUUCUUAUAACUAAUUUUUUGGCAAAAAAUUAUUUUAUAUCAUAUCUAUAUAACCAUAUAAUGGCUUAACAUUUUAAUUUAGUUGUACAAAGCCUACCACAAAAAUAGUUUUUACAUAGAGCACACAUCUAGCUUACACUUCACCGCAGUUUGCUAAUGGAAAGCAGAGAGCAGAGAGAGGGAAAAAUUGUGCCUUGACAAUGUAUUUUCUAACUAAUUAUUUUUUAAAUAAUUAUGUCAAAUAUUAGCGGGAUAUACAGAAACACAGCUAUACCGGGGUUCUUGAAUAUUCAAGUGACGCGUUCGCAGCCGCCGUCAAUAAUUUUAACUCUUUCUCUGUUGUUUAAUACAGAUUUAAGUAGCUAGUUCUCACAUUAAAUUUUAAAUAAAUUAUUAAAAUAACAGUGUUGAAUUUCAUAAUUGAGGAUCCUACCCAUCAAACAAAAUUGAUUUAAAUAUUAAAGUUCCUAAAUGUGUCAAUAAAUGUCAAUAAAACAUAAUUAAGUUU